CACAUUUUGGCUCACUCCUCCAAUUCAGGCUGCAAGCGGCAGGCGGCGGGGUCCUCUGCUCCCCAACCAGCACGAACACCGUGCUGUGCCGCCCACCAGCUCCGGGCACCUCUGUCGUCCUCUGAAAUCUCCUCGGCCGCGCCCAGCCUUCUGCUCCUCCUCGCACUGCGCCCAGCCCAGCCUUCUGCCGCCGUCCUCCUGUGCUGCCCCAUAGAGAGGAGGGGAAAUGGAGGUAGGCGAAGGGGCCGAUGAUUAGCUUGUAUUGGAUUAGGGUUGCAUACAGUAGAGGAUGUAAGCAAUGAUACCGUUCCUGAAUGUGUCCAUGAACGUGCCUGAGACCUGAGCGGCGUGGUGCUGUGGACACAUCCACCAUCCUCGCCGGAGCCUCCAAGACUAUCGCCAGCGUCAUUGGCAAGCUAGUGACUGGGAGCAAAAAAAUCACUCUACCUCCAGUGCAAGGGAUUAGGGUCCAUCUUUUGCAAGCAAGGUUCAUCAAUUAUGCUCAGAAUCUUUAUGGACUGCCAUUACAGAUUAGAGUUGCUCUAGAUAUAAUCAUGUUUGAACAUCCUCAACAUUGAUCUCCUUUGUUAUUGUUGUGGUCUAUCAUAGGUAACUUUCUUCUGCUUGGUGUAAAGAUCGAUCUAACAGUCUAGGAGUCUGAUUCAACAUCGUAUACAUGUACUUAAUAUCUCAAUUUCCUUUCAGGAAAGCAGAGCCUUUUUCCUGCAUUUGUACUUUUCCUUUGUGAUAUAACAUGACACAAACUUAGGGAAAUUACCUGCUUGAUUUUGUUGAAAAUUUCA